AUGUCACCAGUCAUCAGUAAGACGGGGGACCUGAAAUGUAUCUCAGGGCAUGACACAGAUAGAGACUCACCUGCGACACAAGGUGUAAAGAAAAAGAAGAAAAGGAUACAGAAGAACGAGACAGAAAAUCAGCCCAACUUAAUGGGUCUCGAUUCUCCUGUAUCAUCAGUUACAGCUAAUGGUGUUGAAAAUGAACCUACAGCCCAUGGGGUGGAAUUGAAGAAGAAGAAAAGGGCAGCGAGAGGCUCGAACUUGAGCACAAGUGGAAAGACAAAUAUUGCCUUUGAGCCUGAAUGCUAUGACGUGUAGUCAUAAUUUAAUUUCAAAUACCAAUGUGGCAUUCAAUAUACACCCAGAAAUGUAUUUGAAUGAUGCAACUUCAAUCUUGUUUCUAAGAUUGACAAGAAAAAAAACAAUAAAAAAGAACUAAAAUACACAAAAUGGUGGCAGUUGUGACUUAACAGUGGUGUAAGCCUGUUCAAAAUAAUUUUGAUCAGGGUGUCUUGAAAUUAACAGAUCUUGAAUGUCCAGUUCCUCCGUGGACUGGUAAAAUCUGAAAUGCACUUUCAUAUUUCAUGAGAAUCCCACUAACAAAUACAAUGUUAACCAUCUGGCUAUAUCCUAAGUUAGGCUAAGCAGGCAUUUCUGUGGACUGUGGAUCAGUCUAUAGUGAGCAGAGAAUUGAGUCCAAAAGUGUCAUCUAGAACAAAACAACCCCAACCACAACAAAAGUUCUUGAAUUAGCAUUUUAUUUAUUUGUAUAUAAAAUAGAACAGUGUUCAGAAUGGUGAAGUUCCAAAGGAAUGCUGACACUACAAUGUACCUGAAAACAUGAGCUGUUAAUUUAUUAUUUUUUUUUCUGAUGUGAAAUAUUCACUUGGACAACAUUGUGCAGCACUUAAGCAAAUUGUUGAGUAACUACCUAUGCAACUACUCAGACUUCAGCGGGACUGUUCAUGCUUUCCAAUCCAAAUAAGUGUUGCAAAUUCCAGGCACUUAUAUUUUCAAAUGAGAUUUUUAUGCAUAUAAUAAAGGUGCAUUGCAGUUUUGUCAGAGUUCCUGGCUGCUUUGGCAGCAGUCUUGCCAAAUAUGUGUUCUUUCUUCUGAAUUAAAUAUUUCAUUAUCAAACUGUGUAUUUUGUUAUACUUUUUCUUGUAGUCUUUAUUCAGCUGUACAUGUCAUUAAUCUUUUUUUUUUUUUGCUUGAGUAUUAUGUUGUGAACUUUUACUAAUAACUUCACUAAUUAUCUACAAUUCUAAAUAAUUUAUGUUUUAUAUUAAAUGAAACACUUUCUAUCAGUUAGUGCUGGUAUUUUUUCUGGCUGGUGAUGUCCAGUUUAUUUUUACUCUGCUAGGAAAUUCUUUCUCCUCCCCCUCUGAAGCAAUAAAUAACAUAAAAUUAGAAAGCCCUUAUUUAGUAGACAGGACACUUGAUUCCAUUAAAAAAAGAAGUGAAAAUAACAAUGUUGGGCACUGAUGUGUGAAAUGCACCCAGAUGCAGAGCACUAGUUGCUAUAUAUUCUAAUAUCUUCCCUGCACAUGUUAAACCAGGCAAAUCCGUAAACCUGUUUCUUUUGAGCAGCAAAUGUUCUUUUGGGCAUUACUGGUAAUGGUUCUUUGCUAGCAGUCCCAGCUCUGCUUUGCUUAGUGCAUGUGUAUGGAGUUCUCUCCUAAAUGGGACGCGUGCGUGUACUGGAACAUUGUGAACAUCUCUUACCCAGUCAUAGGUUCUGUAAAAUUAUCUCAGUCCAGGGACUGCCUGCUUCUAGCAAGGCUCCUUGUUUCUUAUGCCUCUGCUUUUGUAAUAUAUUCAAAUUCACAAUUCUGCGUGACGUGAGGGAUUUAAACAUUUUAGAAAAGAGAAAAAUCUCAACAUCUUAGGUUUCUUUAAAAUGUCCGGGGUUGCACUUAAAAGAAGGGCAGAGCAUGACAUCAGGCUCCACGUCAGGGAGAGCUGAGCAGUAGCCAAGAUCUGGGAGCUCAUCGGAAGGCAUUGUAAAAUGUUAAUUUGGCAUUGUGGAUGCUGAAGACAGAAAUAACACUUCAGAUAAACACCACAGAGAGAUGGUAGUUCUAAUCAAAGGCACAGCACCUCCUUUCAUGCUUGCGAACUAGGGCUCCAAUUAUGUUCACUGCUCUGAAGCUGAAUAGAGCUGCUCUGCCACACUUUCCAAAUUGAGAGGAGAGGCAGCAGUAGUGUCUUCCAAGGCACAGUUCCAAAUAACAAUUAAGCAGAAGAAAUCAGAUAAGAGCCAAACAUGAAAAUGCAGGGAGUUGAAAAUAAACUUUUCAUAAUGUUUUCUUGUAAUUGCAAUAUCUUUUGUUUUGUUUUUAUAAUUUUUUUCCUCCCUACCACAUGGUUGGCUGGAUUUUUCUAUUGCUUUAUACCAAAUCACUGUGGUAUUAGAGCUUUCUGCAUUCAUUUACCAGAAAAUGAACAAAAAUAAGGACCUGCAAUUAAAAAAAGUUGAAGUGUUCUUUCAGCAUUUAAGUUAGAACCUUCAGACUAUUAUUGCUUCUCAACAAAUUAUUAACAGGGCAC
rnacentral:lncRNA from 1 species